UACGGGGGGUGCGAGCGUUGUUCGGAUUCACUGGGUAUAAAGGGUGCGCAGGCGGCCAGAUAAGUCAGAGGUGAAAUUCGUCGGCUCAACCGACGGACUGCCCCUGAAACUGUCUGGCUUGAGUCCGGGAGAGGAAGGUGGAAUUCCAGGUGUAGCGGUGAAAUGCGUAAAUAUCUGGAGGAACACCGGUGGCGAAGGCGGCCUUCUGGCCCGGAACUGACGCUCAGGCACGAAAGCUAGGGGAGCGAACGGGAUUAGAUACCCCGGUAGUCCUAGCCGUAAACGAUGGGUACUAGGUGUUGGAGGAUUCUACCCCUUCAGUGCCGCAGCUAAUGCAUUAAGUACCCCACCUGGGGAGUACGAUCGCAAGGUUGAA
rnacentral:rRNA from 1 species